AUUCUCCCACCUCAGCCUUCCAAGAAGCUGGGACUACAGGUGCCCACCACCAUGCCUGGCUCAUUUUCUUUGUAUUUCUAGAGAGACAGGGAUUCACCAUAUUGGCCAGGCUGGUCUGAAACUCCUCCUGGCUGCAAAUUAUCUGCCUGCCUCAGCCUCCCAGAGUGUUGGGAUUACAGACUUGAGCCACCACACCUGGCUUGGAUGUGUUGUAUUUUAAAAGUCAGUUAGUACUCUUAUAUUAAUGUUAAAAUGUUGUGUUCCAAGUUUCAGGGUUAUGAGCAGCGAUUAGGUUCCCAGGCUAGGCCACAACAGUUAAUUUAAUACACAUUGCAGCUAAACUAGGAUUUUGAUACUGUUAUAUUGUAGUGGAUUUAUUUGUAUCCUCCCUCAUCCCCCAAAUGUAUUCAAGUCCUAAAUUCCAGUACCUAUGAAUGUGACUCUAUUUGCAGAAAUAAUCAAAUCAACGUGAGGUCAUACUAGAUGAGGACAGGCUCUAGAUUCAGUGACUGUUGUCUUUAUAAGAGACUUGGACACAGAGGGAAGAAGAUCACAUGAGGACGGAGGCAGAGGUUGGCAUUAUGCUUCUACAAGCCAAGGAAUUCCAGGACCCAUCAGAAGUUGGAAAAGGCAAGAAAGGAUUCUCUUCUAGCACUUUUGAUGGAGUGUGGCCAUGCUGACACCUCAUUUUCAGGAUUUUGGCCUACAGAAUGGUCUUCUGUAAUAAUCCCAAUACCCCCAAAGUGUCAGAUUCGAGAAUUUGAGGUAAUUAAAAAAAAGGUACUGUACACAGAAAGACCCAAGAGAAGAUCACAGAAAUAUGUUUUAGAAUAUUUGUGAUCUACCCUCAUAUAUGCUUUUCUCUUCCAUUCUGACUUAAAGCUACCUGAGAGUUGUUGGCAGGGGCAUGUUAUUCUUAAGCUUUUUUAUUUCUCCCAUUGUAUUUACAUAAGGCUUUGUAUACACAUAUUAGUUAUAUAUGUAACAAAUUACUCCAAAAUUUAGCAGCUUAGCAGUAAACAUGUCACCCAGAUGCUGAAGGUCAGGAAUUUGGGAGCAGCUUAGCUGGGUG
rnacentral:lncRNA from 13 species